AACAAAUAUCACACACACAUCAGUGUAUGUGACAACUGAUGGGACUUUAAUCUUUAAUGUGUGGUCCCAUCGUUUCAUGAUCUCUCUGCGACACCUUACAUCAAGUGAAGUGAGACCUGACACAUGGAGGCUUCUGCAGAAAGAAGAAACAAACCAGUAAAACAGGAGAUUUGAGGUCUCAACAGCAACAGCAGGGGCGGAUUAAGGACUGAAGAACAUCCGGGGCUUAACACACACACACACAUACACACACACGCGCGCGCGCACACACACGCGCACAUACUAGUCAACAACAUAUAUGUCUUGUACCACAUAAAUUUUAAUCUGAAGCUACAUAUGAAGCAUAUUCAGGGCAGAGUAUUGUUCCUGUUAGUGUUUAGUGUGAGAUGAUAGUAAAUAUUCCUUUCUUUCUCCAUCAACUUUACCUGAUAGUAAGCUAACUUUAGGCAAACCAGCAGCACAACAAAUAUUUUCUAAUAAGACUCACAAACCUGAGUCAACACCAGUCUCAUCAAAGCUGGGGUUCUGUCGUUGUACUUUUGGUCUAAUAAACGUCCUUAUGUCCAUCUUCACUCAUGCGUUUCAGACAGAGAGUGCAGAAGAAGCCGGCUGCUGAAUGGCUUCUUCUUCAGUGGUGGAGGCUCAGGCAGGCUGUAUACAAACUACUGCCAGCUGCUCCCUCUCUGUUGGACUUUGGUACUGCAUGUUACUUCCGCGAUUUAGAUCCGGGGCUUUUCAUAAAACAUCCGGGGCUUCAGCCCAAGUAGCCGGGCCUAACGCCGCCCCUGAGCAACAGUGUGGCUCAGUUUGCUUUAGCACAACAUUAAACCAAGCAAAUUGAGCCACUCCUAUAAUGGAUAAAAAUCAGAUAGAAAAUGGUGGCAGAACUGUGUGUGAUGAUUUGUCACCUGCAGGGUUUGCCGCCAGAGCAGGAGGAUGUGUGCACACAGCUGUCUGAUAAAAUGUUUGUUCACACUUUUGGACACAGAAAACAGAAUUGUGAUUAUUCCUUCUCUAUUGUAAAACUGUCUUUUGCAUUUUCCUUCUCUUUCUUCACCCCCCCCCCACCCCCCCACCCUGACACAGUUAUAGAGCAGAGCAAUGAUGCAUGCCUCAGUGAGACCUGGUGAAUAGUAAUGAACCAAGACUGUGUCUAUUUGAGGCAAAGCAGGAGGAGAGAGGGUAUGGGAAGGGUGUGUGUGUGUGUGUGUGUGUGUGACAUUAAUAGUUUACAGCGUUUUCAUGGCUGCCGUUGUCACACAGCUCAUCAGCAAACUCUAACAAGGAGAACGUGGCGUCGCUAAUUUAAACCUGAAACUGUGUUUUUACGAGCUUUCCCCCAUUAGACCCCUCCUGCCUAUAGAACAUAAACAAGAGAGGGGAGGGGGCGUUAGUGGAGAAAACCGACGCAGGGGAAAGAGAUGGGGAUGAAAAUGGCUCAAAGAGGGGCAGCAGCACCUGCUGUCCUCGGCUCAGAUUCACCAGGAGAAACAGCAGCAAGAGAUGAACUGCGAGGACAAAGACAGGAGGAAAAACGGGUCCAAACAAAGACCGGGACACUCACAAGAUUUUUCCGUGAAGGCAUCUAACCUCUCAUGGCUGCAGCUGCAGAUAAAGUUUUAACCAGGAGAGCUUUCUGGGAAAAAAGUGUGUUUCUUGCUGGAGACAAAUGUCUGAAAUGUUCAGUGACUGGCUGCAAAGAUCAACUUGAUUGCCAAGUCUGAAAGGAAGGGAACAAGCACAAUGGAGCCCCCUCCCCAGCUCAGCCCCUCUUUUAUCCUUUCCCAUCCAGGAUCCAUGGGCACUCUGCCAACGGGGAAUCUUAAGAACUCAUUCAAAGGAACCCGAAGAAAGGAGCUUGUUUAAAACCAGGAGCCAUUCUUUCGCAGGCUCUUGUUUUUCUUUACGUUUCCCACGUGAGGAGGGAUUUUCUGGCUGUCAUUUUCUCUGACACAGCUUCUGAAAUGGUGUGUGUGUGUGUGUGUGUGUGUGUGUGUUGGGGGGGGGUUGCUGGAAUUGCAAUUCAUGUAACGUUUCAUCGGAUUUGUGUUUUGAAGGAGUGUUAGUGAGAGAUCUCCCUCCAGAGCCCCUUCCUCCCUCUCUCUCUACUUUUCUUCCUGCUUUUACUCCAUCUCUCUCCUGCACACAUGGUAACUCCUCCCCCCGGCGACCCAUUGUCUCUCCGUACAGUACCGGGCUGAGAGGAUGUCACACUCGGUCCAGCGAUGGACACAGGACAGGGAGAAGGAGGAGACGGAGCGACCGCUAGAGUCAGAACCAGCAGCAUGCACCUGAACUAACACACACCGGGAGGCUGCAGCUAUCUGAUCAUUGGUUGGAGGGAUUCAUAAUUUCACUCAACUAGAGGCUCUGGCUCACACGUGUCACACCUUCAGUGGGUUCUUGUGGAAACGGUCACAUCGACGAGUCUCGAGUGCUUUUAUUAAAGAUAAAGCUAAAGUGUGGGCAGCCUGUCGCGGUGACCGUCCUCCAUCGUCUGAAUAACAGCUGGACUCUUUCAUUAAAGACAUGAAAUCAUUCACCACAACCCGUCAGCCAUACAUCUAUCUAAUCAGUAAUUAAGUCAGACUGUUUAUUAAAAUGUUUUUAUGGUUCUAGAUGGACUUUUCUCUGCUCUGACCCAGUUCCCUCGUGAGAAAGUGUUGUCUUCGAAAUGAUCGUUUAUUCUGUUCAGACUCGUAGCUUUUAGUCUGAUUAGUUUAUCUCAGCACAAGUAUCGUUCUUUAACUGUAGCUGAUGUGUGAGCAGGAGACGCCUUUGUGAUCGUAUUAUGUUUAUUCAUGACAAUAAAAACCCGUUCUCUAUUCAA